rnacentral:lncRNA from 1 species
AUAAUUAAUUUCUUCAAUAUAAAAUAAACUUUCUUGCAAUAUUUUUCAAAUACAUUUUUGUUUCUACAUUAAGCUUCAUAUAUGAUCAACAUUUCGGUAUAGACUUCAAAGAAUAUUGCAAUCAAAUAUCAUGAAAGGUCUUCUUAGUCCAACUUGAAGUAACACUUUUAUGAAUAAAUCUUCAUCUUGUCACUAAUUGAUUAAUUUCAAAAUUAAGAGC